AAAAAAAAAAAAAAAGGGUGAGAUACAAAUCCCAGCCUGUCUAUAUUGUUCCUACAGUCUCCUUCCUCCAGUUGUGUUAUGAAAAAUGUGUUCCUGCCUGUCACUUCUGUGGUCAGGCCAUGUCCAGUGCUUGUUGUUUCCAGAUAUCACCCACGCCUUGUUUGCCGCAUGUCUGAGCCUGACCCACCAUGUGUUCCAGAAGUGGACAUUGCUCGUGGAUGGUCUCAGGAGGAGCAAGUCCUCCCUACGGAGGACUUCACCCGAACUAGAGCAGAGUAAUUAAAUCAAAGUAAGUGGUCACAGCCUGCUAAAGAAACAACAUGAAACACACAGAGAACUGCAAACAACCAAAUAAAAUGACUCACUGUCACACUAUGUUCAUAUAUUCCCACUAAAGAAAUCUUAGGCCACAGCUUAAGACUCUGAGAUCUCCAAUAUACAGUAACUGUGAUCCAGUCUCUCACUCAUCCUUAACAAACCUAUCCAUAAGAAACCUCUGCAGCACAGCUUAGUAUACACCAGUAAAAAGUAUUAGACUUCUUUUUGGUGAACGCUGCUGGUGUGGGAGCAGUCUGUUAAAAGCAAUAAGGAAGCAUUUACAGCCUCUGGACCAGGUGCUGGAGCUAAAAAUAAGAAGAAAAAUGGCUGAGUGAAGACUGGUAAUUUGGACUGGGAGCUUAGCAUUAGCUUCUUAGAGCUCAAGUCUGGAUGGGAAACCAGCAGCAGAAGCAGUAAGUGUUGGGAGUAGGAGAUGGUAACUGGAACUGGCUGUAGUUGGAGGCUCAUGCUGGAACAAGGCUCUUGGGCAGGGAGACAGAGGAGAGCUAGAAGAGUCAGGCAGCUCCGAGCAUGUCAGUAUUUACUCCUGUCAAGCCUGCAGCGAAGCCAGUGAGUCUUGAGCCCUACCAUUCCUCAGCUGCCAGCAAUGUUCAUGAAACCUCUUGCAGUUUUGCUGCUGUUAAUGGUAAGUACAUCAGACUGACUCACUGGGUCAGACCAUCUAACCCAAUAUCCUGUCUCCUCCCACAGCCAGCAGUAAAUGCCAAGGGAAGAGCACAAGAACAGACCCACAAACUAAUCUGAUGAAUAGCUGAAAGCCAGCUAACUGUUGGACAUUGAGCAUCUUUACCUGCUGGGACCACAGGAAAAAGCAUGAGGAAAAAGAUGUGUCCACCAACACCCGUUUGACAAACAAGUUAAGGCUUUUACCUGGAAGCCAAAAUAUGAUUAUUGUUUUUCCUUCACAUUUCACUUGAACAUGAUCUGAAGCACAGAUUCAAAUGUCAGUCAAACAUCUGAGUUGAGUGUUUAUCAACCAGACCAGGCAAUUCUUCACAGGAAUCUCUAUCUUUGUCUCCUGUACAAACUAUCCUGUUUUAUAAAAUGAUAGGAUACACUGAACUGGAGACCUAAACCC